ensembl:lncRNA
AUGGUAGGCCUGGACCCUGUGGAGUAGAGAUCUCAUGGUGGGCCUGGACCCUGUGGAGUAGACACCUCGUGGUGGGCCUGAACCCUGUGGAGUAGAGACCUCAUGGUGGGCCUGGAUCCUGUGGAGUAGAGACCUCAUGGUGGGCCUGGACCCUGUGGAGUAGAGACCUCAUGGUGGGCCUGGACCCUGUGGAGUAGAGACCUCAUGGUGGGCCUGAACCCUGUGGAGUAGAGAUCUCAUGGUGGGCCUGGACCCUGUGGAGUAGAGACCUCAUGGUGGGCCUGGACCCUGUGGAGUAGAGAUCUCAUGGUGGGCCUGAACCCUGUGGAGUAGAGACCUGAACCCUUUGGAGUAGAGACCUCAUGGUGGGCCUGAACCCUGUGGAGUAGAGACCUCAUGGUGGGCCUGGACCCUGUGGAGUAGAGACUUCAUGGUAGGCCUGGACCCUGUGGAGUAGAGACCUCAUGGUAGGCCUGGACCCUGUGGAGUAGAGAUCUCAUGGUGGGCCUGGACCCUGUGGAGUAGAGACCCCAUGGUGGGCCUGGACCCUGUGGAGUGGACCUGGACCCUGUGGAGUAGAGACCUCAUGGUGGGCCUGGACUCUGUGGGGUAGAGACCUCAUGGUGGGCCUGGACCCUGUGGAGUAGAGACCUCAUGGUGGGCCUGGACCCUGUGGAGUGGACCUGGACCCUGUGGAGUAGAGACCUCAUGGUGGGCCUGGACCCUGUGGAGUAGAGACCUCAUGGUGGGCCUGAACCCUGUGGAGUAGAGAUCUCAUGGUGGGCCUGGACCCUGUGGAAUAGAGACCUCAUGGUGGGUCUGGACCCUGUGGAGUAGACCUGGACCCUGUGGAGUAGAGACCUCAUGGUGGGCCUGGACCCUGUGGAGUAGAGACCUCAUGGGGGGCCUGAACCCUGUGGAGUAGAGACCUCAUGGUGGGCCUGGACCCUGUGGAGUAGAGAUGUCAUGGUGGGCCUGGACCCUGUGGAGUAGAGACCUCAUGGUGGGCCUGAACCCUGUGGAAUAGAGACCUCAUGGUGGGCCUGGACCCUGUGGAGUAGAGACCUCAUGGUGGGCCUGGACCCUGUGGAGUAGAGAUGUCAUGGAGGGCCUGAACCCUGUGGAGUAGAGACCUCAUGGUGGGCCUGGACCCUGUGGAGUAGAGACUUCAUGGUGGGCCUGAACCCUGUGGAGUAGAGAUCUCAUGGUGGGCCUGAACCCUGUGGAGUAGAGACCUCAUGGUGGGCCUGGACCCUGUGGAGUAGACCUGGACCCUGUGGAGUAGAGACCUCAUGGUGGGCCUGGACCCUGUGGAGUAGAGACCUCAUGGUGGGCCUGGACCCUGUGGAGUAGACACCUCAUGGUGGGCCUGGACCCUGUGGAGUAGAGACCUCAUGGUGGGCCUGGACCCUGUGGAGUAGACCUGAACCCUGCACCAUAUAGAUGGAUACUGGCCUGAUGUUAGAGUGUGUUGUAUAUAUAUACUAGCAGUACUGAGAACCAAUGGGGGUGUGGCUCGCACAUUGUGGGGACUUUGGGAAAGUUAACUUUUUUUCUGAAGCAUCUUUAAAAAAUAAACUAUUUAGAUUGCUACGCUACACAGCUGUGUAUGGACCUGUGGGGAACGUAGUGGAUACUUGUGUCUCUGUCAUACAGCACUCACAGUUACAAGGACCUGGUGCUGCCUGUCUGCUGUUGUCUGUCAGAGAGGAAGAGGUGAACCAAAGAGGGAUAACUGGGCCCGAAAUCUGUCUUCUCCACCAGGUGGCGCUUUUGUUUUGUUUAUUUCAAUUCAAGGGGCUUUAUUGACAUGGGAAACACAUGUUAACAUUGCCAAAGCAAGAGAAGUAGAUAAUAUGCAAAAUUGAGGUAAACAAUAUAAAUGAACAGUAAAAAUUACACUCACAGAAUUUCCAAAAGAAUAAAGACAUUUCAAAUGUCAUAUGAUGUAUAUAUACAGUGUUGUAACGAUGUACAAAUGGUUAAAGUACAAAAGGGAAAAUAAAUAAACAUAAACAUGGGUUGUGUUUACAAUGGUGUUUGUUCUUCACUGGUUGACCAAUUCUUGUGGCAACAGGUCACAAAUCUUGCUGCUGUGAUGGCACACUGUGGUAUUUCACCCAGUAGAUAUGGGAAUUUAUCAAAAUUGUGUAUGUUUUCUAAUUCUUUGUGGAUCUGUGUAAUCUGAGGGAAAUAUGUCUCUCUAAUAUGGUCAUGCAUUUGGCAGGAGGUUAGGAAGUGCAGCUCAGCUUCCACCUCAUUUUGUGGGCAGUGAGCACAUAGCCUGUCUUCUCUUGAGAGCCAGGUCUGCCUACGGUGGCCUUUCUCAAUAGCAAGGCUAUGCUCACUGAGUCUGUACAUAGUCAAAGCUUUCCUUAAGUUUGGGUCAGUCACAGUGGUCAGGUAUUCUGCCACUGUGUACUCUGUUUAUGGCC